rnacentral:rRNA from 1 species
UACGUAGGGGGCAAGCGUUGUCCGGAUUUAUUGGGCGUAAAGAGCGUGUAGGCGGCCAGACAGGUCCGUUGUGAAAACUCGAGGCUCAACCUCGAGAUGUCGAUGGAAACCGUCUGGCUAGAGUCCGGAAGAGGAGUGUGGAAUUCCUGGUGUAGCGGUGAAAUGCGCAGAUAUCAGGAAGAACACCUAUGGCGAAGGCAGCACUCUGGGCAUUAACUGACGCUGAGGAGCGAAAGCAUGGGGAGCGAACAGG